UGGCACCACCCCAGAUGGUCACCAUUCUCCAGGGCGUGGCACGUAUAUUUGGGUACUGCUGGGCUAUUUGGAGGACUUCCCGGUGCAUGUAGCCCGACCGCUGAACACGGGUUCAAAAGUGUAAACGAGGGCACGUUUUGUGUCAAAUCUUAGGAGAAACUGCUCAACAAGGGUGACGCAUAAGAGGGGAACAACCCUCCACGUGUAACCACUGUCUUCGAACUGUAUGACUCACAACUAAAAAUAAAGAGCUACAUUUGCUGAAUUA